GAUGAACGCUAGCGAUAGGCUUAACACAUGCAAGUCGAGGGGCAGCACAAGGUAGCUUGCUAUCUGGGUGGCGACCGGCGCACGGGUGCGUAACGCGUAUGCAACUUGCCCUAUACAGGAGGAUAACCCGUCGAAAGACGGACUAAUACUGCGUAUGCUCACAACUUGGCAUCAAGUGGUGAGGAAAGAAAUUCGGUAUAGGAUAGGCAUGCGUCCCAUUAGCUUGUUGGUGAGGUAACGGCUCACCAAGGCAACGAUGGGUAGGGGAACUGAGAGGUUUAUCCCCCACACUGGUACUGAGACACGGACCAGACUCCUACGGGAGGCAGCAGUGAGGAAUAUUGGUCAAUGGGCGCGAGCCUGAACCAGCCAAGUCGCGUGAAGGAGGACUGUCCUAUGGAUUGUAAACUUCUUUUAUACGGGAAUAACAAGAGUCACGUGUGACUCCCUGCAUGUACCGUAUGAAUAAGCAUCGGCUAACUCCGUG
rnacentral:rRNA from 1 species